rnacentral:rRNA from 1 species
UACGUAGGGAGCAAGCGUUGUCCGGAUUUACUGGGUGUAAAGGGUGCGUAGGCGGCUCGGCAAGUCAGAGGUGAAAUCCAUGGGCUUAACCCAUGAACUGCCUUUGAAACUGCCGAACUUGAGUGAAGUAGAGGUAGGCGGAAUUCCCGGUGUAGCGGUGAAAUGCGUAGAGAUCGGGAGGAACACCAGUGGCGAAGGCGGCCUACUGGGCUUUAACUGACGCUGAGGCACGAAAGCAUGGGUAGCAAACAGG